rnacentral:rRNA from 1 species
UAGAGUUUGAUCCUGGCUCAGGAUGAACGCUGGCGGCGUGCCUAAUACAUGCAAGUCGAACGCACAGCGAAAGGUGCUUGCACCUUUCAAGUGAGUGGCGAACGGGUGAGUAACACGUGGACAACCUGCCUCAAGGCUGGGGAUAACAUUUGGAAACAGAUGCUAAUACCGAAUAAAACUCAGUGUCGCAUGACACAAAGUUAAAAGGCGCUUUGGCGUCACCUAGAGAUGGAUCCGCGGUGCAUUAGUUAGUUGGUGGGGUAAAGGCCUACCAAGACAAUGAUGCAUAGCCUGAUCUCC